rnacentral:rRNA from 1 species
GCACGCCGGACGACGUCCGCGAGAAGUCCACUGAACCUUAUCAUUUAGAGGGAAGAGAAGUCGUAACAAGGUUUCCGUAGGUGAACCUGCGGAAGGAUCAUUGUCGAUGCCCCCCGAACGGGACGACCCGCGGACCGGUUUGCGAACACCGCCGCCGUCGGGCCCGCGCGCCCGGACGGCCCAACAACCAACCCCCGGCGCCAGUCGCGCCAAGGAAACGGAAAGAACGCGCGCGCGCCCCCGGGCACCCGACCCACGGGAUGCCGUCCGGGGAGCGCCGCGCCACUGUUAUGCCACGCAUACACAGAACGACUCUCGGCAACGGAUAUCUCGGCUCUCGCAUCGAUGAAGAACGUAGCGAAAUGCGAUACUUGGUGUGAAUUGCAGAAUCCCGUGAACCAUCGAGUCUUUGAACGCAAGUUGCGCCCGAAGCCAUCCGGCCGAGGGCACGCCUGCCUGGGCGUCACGCAACGUCGCCCCCACCCCAUCGCGGGCGGGGCGGAGGAUGGCCUCCCGCGAGCACGAGUCUCCCGGCUGGCCGAAAUACCAGCGUGCGAGGGCAGUCGCCACGAUCCACGGUGGGAGGAGCGGAACUCGCUCACUCGAGACCGGCCGUGCGCGAGCUGCCGCCGAGCGACGCUGCGCGACCCACGCGCGCCACGGGCGCUCCCGACGCGACCCCAGGUCAGGCGGGGACACCCGCUGAGUUUAAGCAUAUCAAUAAGCGGAGGAA